GAGUUCGAUCUUGGCUCAGGAUGAAUGCUGGCGGCAUGCUUAACACAUUCAAGUCGGAUGGGAAGUGGUGUUUCCAGUGGCGGACAGGUGAGUAACGCAUAAGAACCUACCCUUGUGAGAGGAACAAUAGCUGGAAACGGCUGCUAAUUCCCCGUAGGCUGAGGAGCAAAAGGAGGAAUCCGCCCUAGGAGGGGCUCCAGUCUAAUUAGCUAGUUGGUGAGGCAGUAGCUUACCAAGGCGAUGAUCAGUAGCAAGUCCGAGAGGAUGAUCAGCCACAUAGGGAUUGAGACAUGGCCCAGACUCUUAUGAGAGGCAGCAGUGGGGAAUGUUUCCCAAUGGGCGAAAGCCUAACGGAGCAAUUUCGCGUGGAGGUAGAAGGCCAACGAGUCGUGAACUUCUUUUCCCUGAGAAGAAGCAAUGACAAUAUCUAGGGAAUAAGCAUCUGCUAACUCUGUGCCAGCAAGCCCGAUAAUACAGAGGAUGCAAGCGUUAUCCAGAAUGAUUGGGCGUAAAGCAUCUGUAGGUGGCUUUUUAAGUUUGUAGUCAAAUCCCAAGGCCCAACCUUGGACAGGCGGUGGAAACUACUAAGUUGGAAUACGGUAGGGGCAGAGGGAAUUUCCUGUGGAGCGGUGAAAUGCGUAGAUAUCGGAAAGAACACCAACGGUGAAAACACUCUGCUGGGCCGACACUGACACUAAGAGACGAAAGCUAAGGGAGCAAAUGUGAUUAGAUACCCCAGUAGUCCUAGCCGUAAACGAUGAAUACUAGGAGCUGUGCUUAUCGACCCAUGCAGUGUUGUAGCUAACGCGUUAAGUAUCCCGCC
rnacentral:rRNA from 1 species